GCCCAGGACACCAAAGCUGGAGCUUCUCUGUUUCUUGCUGACUGCUGCCUCCUCAGACCUUUGUGGGGCUGUGACCUGGAAGUCCCCCACUUGAUCAGCACUGUCACGGACACCUCGACACCUCAGAAAUGAAUCAAAAUGAAAAGGCCCCUCCUACAAUCCUAGCAGGCUCCAGUUGAUGAGGAAGUGUGGUACCAACUGACCAUUACCCUGGGAGCAGCAAACCAUCAGUACUCAGCCUGACAUUUCCUGCUUCAGCAAGCAUCCGAAGCUCGGUGCUGUGCCCAGAUCUUGCUAAUUUGCCCAGCCUGGCCUCAAACCUGCCAUCCUCCUGCCUCGGCUUCUGGAGUAGCUGGGAUUACAGCUGAGAUGCUCCUUGUCGUCGUUGUUGUUGUCAGGCCAGGAAGGCUGCCCGUGGUCCCCUGGCCCAGUGGAGGAGCAGAGCCCUUUACUCCAAGCCUGACAAGCCCCUGCGCUGAGCCUGCACUGGGGUUCUGCCUCAUUCACUGCUGUGCCUCAAGUCUAGACAGUGCCUGACACAAAAGAGGCUCACAUUGGUUGCUCAAUCGUGGAACUCAAAUGAUCUCCCUUUCCUCAGGA